rnacentral:rRNA from 1 species
GAGUAACAGGACGUCACAGAGGGUGAGAAUCCCGUGCGGCACGGCCCCGGACUCCUUAUAAGGCGCUCUCGACGAGUCGAGUUGUUGGGAAUGCAGCUCAAAGUGGGUGGUAAAUUCCAUCUAAAGCUAAAUACAGGCGAGAGACCGAUAGCGAACAAGUACAGUGAUGGAAAGAUGAAAAGCACUUUGAAAAAGAGAGUGAAACAGCACGUGAAAUUGUUGAAAGGGAAGGGCAUGCCGUCAGAAUAGUCACG